UUCUAUCAGCUGGCUAUCGUUCCGAUUUAAUCGGAAAGGAAAGUCCGGACAGCAAAGGGCAACAUACCGGUUAAGAGCCGGCUUCCUUUUUAAGGAAAGAGAAAGUGCCACAGAAAAUAACUGCCCGCAAGGGUAAGGGUGAAAACGUGAGGUAAGAGCUCACGAUAAUUGUUGGUAACAACAUUUAUGGGUAAACCUUAUGUGCUGUAAUGCCACGUAUACCAGCGUUUGAGGGCGGCUCGUCCGAGCUGGAGGGUAGGCAGCAAGAUCUUGUUAGUAAUAACAGGGCUAGAUAAAUGAUGGCCGCUUCUGUGUUAAAGCACAGGGGUAACAGAAUCCGGCUUAUGGCUGAUAGAAUUUU
rnacentral:RNase_P_RNA from 1 species